UACGUAGGGUGCGAGCGUUAAUCGGAAUUACUGGGCGUAAAGAGCGCGCAGGCGGUCGUUCAAGUCGCGUGUGAAAGCCCCCGGCUCAACUGGGGAGGGUCACGCGAUACUGAUCGACUCGAAGGCAGGAGAGGGUAGUGGAAUUCCCGGUGUAGUGGUGAAAUACGUAGAGAUUGGGAAGAACACCAGUGGCGAAGGCGGCUAUCUGGACGGUUUCUGACACUAAGACUCGAAAGCGUGGGGAGCAAACAGG
rnacentral:rRNA from 1 species